UACGACUACAUAUCAGGCAUAUCAAUAAGCGGAGGAAAAGAAACUAACUAGGAUUCCCACAGUAACGGCGAGUGAAGCGGGAAGAGCUCAAAUUUGAAAUCUUCAAGGUUCUACCUUGACGAAUUGUAGUUUAAAGAAGUGUUUUCUGUUGGAGUUUUGGUAAAAGUUCUUUGGAAUAGGACAUCAUAGAGGGUGAGAAUCCCGUAUUUGACCAUUAUUUUCAGCUUUGUGAUACACUUUCAAAGAGUCGGAUUGUUUGGGAAUGCAGUCCAAAAUGGGUGGUAAAUUUCAUCUAAAGCUAAAUAUUGGCGAGAGACCGAUAGCGAACAAGUACCGUGAGGGAAAGAUGAAAAGAACUUUGAAAAGAGAGUUAAACAGUACGUGAAAUUGUCAAAAGGGAAGCGUUUGACACCAGUGUUGUUUUCUCGAAAAUCAAUUAAAAAUAGCUGGAUUUUGUGUUGUAUUGACUUUAAUCAGCUUGCUUCACUCUUUUCAUGUCUUUUUUAAUGCACUUUUCGUUUAACAAGUCAACAUCAGUUUCUUUUGUUGUAAAAGGGUCAUUGGAAGGUGGCUUUCCUUUCGGAGAAAGUGUUUAUAGCCUUUGGCCUCUGCAAUCGGAGAGAUUGAGGUCUGCAGCGUAGAUCCUUCGGGGCUAAAUGCAUUUGUGCUAAGUUAUAGCCUUUCAUAGACAACUUGUUGACUAUGAUCAGUCAUGUAGCUUACUCGCUUAUGCUAUUUUACCUACGCUUAGGAUGUUGAGCGCAUGUCUCUCUCU
rnacentral:rRNA from 1 species